AAUUUCAAAGUUUUGUGAUCAGAGAAUAUGCUUGAUUAUCAUGGCAAUAAUGGAAGGAACUCUGUUAAGAAGAGGAAGGUGCAAUAAUCUGCAACAACAAGGAGGGAUUUUGUUCCUAGAGGAUCUACUACUUGCUACAUGAGCUGGGUUCUACAGCUGGAGAAAUUUCUGCAGAGAUUUAUUCUUUGUUGUUGUGCUUUCACUGACAUGUCCCUUGACUUCAGACUCCUUUUCUCUGGGAAAGUAGUCCAUCCUUUCCACAGUUUCACUUUCCAUGGUUUCAGUUACCCACAGUCAAUCUUGGUCCAAAAAUAUUAAAUGAAAAAUUCCAGAAAUAAACAAUUCAUAAGUUUUAAGUUGGGUGCCAUUCUGAGCAGCAUGAUGUAAUCUUGUGCCAUCCUGCCUGGAACAUGAAUCAUCCCUUUAUGCAGCAUAUCCAUACUGCAUAUGUUUCUUGUCACUUAGUAGCAGUCUAGGUUGUCAGAUCGACUGCUGUGGUACCACAGUGCUUGUGUUCAAGAAAAUAUUUUAUUGUUAUGACGAUUGUUCUAGUUUAUUAUUAGUUAUUGUUGUUAA